rnacentral:rRNA from 1 species
AUUGAACGCUGGCGGCAGGCCUAACACAUGCAAGUCGAGCGGUAGAGAGAAGCUUGCUUCUCUUGAGAGCGGCGGACGGGUGAGUAAUGCCUAGGAAUCUGCCUGGUAGUGGGGGAUAACGUUCGGAAACGGACGCUAAUACCGCAUACGUCCUACGGGAGAAAGCAGGGGACCUUCGGGCCUUGCGCUAUCAGAUGAGCCUAGGUCGGAUUAGCUAGUUGGUGGGGUAAUGGCUCACCAAGGCGACGAUCCGUAACUGGUCUGAGAGGAUGAUCAGUCACACUGGAACUGAGACACGGUCCAGACUCCUACGGGAGGCAGCAGUGGGGAAUAUUGGACAAUGGGCGAAAGCCUGAUCCAGCCAUGCCGCGUGUGUGAAGAAGGUCUUCGGAUUGUAAAGCACUUUAAGUUGGGAGGAAGGGUUGUAGAUUAAUACUCUGCAAUUUUGACGUUACCGACAGAAUAAGCACCGGCUAACUCUGUGCCAGCAGCCGCGGUAAUACAGAGGGUGCAAGCGUUAAUCGGAAUUACUGGGCGUAAAGCGCGCGUAGGUGGUUUGUUAAGUUGGAUGUGAAAUCCCCGGGCUCAACCUGGGAACUGCAUUCAAAACUGACUGACUAGAGUAUGGUAGAGGGUGGUGGAAUUUCCUGUGUAGCGGUGAAAUGCGUAGAUAUAGGAAGGAACACCAGUGGCGAAGGCGACCACCUGGACUAAUACUGACACUGAGGGUGCGAAAAGCGUGGGGGAGCAAAACAGGAUUAGAUACCCUGGUAGUCCACGCCGUAAACGAUGUCAACUAGCCGUUGGAAGCCUUGAGCUUUUAGUGGCGCAGCUAACGCAUUAAGUUGACCGCCUGGGGAGUACGGCCGCAAGGUUAAAACUCAAAUGAAUUGACGGGGGCCCGCACAAGCGGUGGAGCAUGUGGUUUAAUUCGAAGCAACGCGAAGAACCUUACUAGGCCUUGACAUCCAAUGAACUUUCUAGAGAUAGAUUGGUGCCUUCGGGAACAUUGAGACAGGUGCUGCAUGGCUGUCGUCAGCUCGUGUCGUGAGAUGUUGGGUUAAGUCCCGUAACGAGCGCAACCCUUGUCCUUAGUUACCAGCACGUCAUGGUGGGCACUCUAAGGAGACUGCCGGUGACAAACCGGAGGAAGGUGGGGAUGACGUCAAGUCAUCAUGGCCCUUACGGCCUGGGCUACACACGUGCUACAAUGGUCGGUACAGAGGGUUGCCAAGCCGCGAGGUGGAGCUAAUCCCAUAAAACCGAUCGUAGUCCGGAUCGCAGUCUGCAACUCGACUGCGUGAAGUCGGAAUCGCUAGUAAUCGCGAAUCAGAAUGUCGCGGUGAAUACGUUCCCGGGCCUUGUACACACCGCCCGUCACACCAUGGGAGUGGGUUGCACCAGAAGUAGCUAGUCUAACCUUCGGGAGGACGGUUACCACGGUGUGAUUCAUGACUGGGGUG